GCCGGGUGUGGUGGCACGCACCUGUAGUCCCAGCUACUCGGGAGGCUGAGGCAGGAGAAUUGCUUGAACCUAGGAAGUGGAGGUUGCAGUGAGCCAAGGCGGGGCCCAUUGCACUCCAGCCUGGGUGACAGAGCAAGACCCUGUCUCAA
ensembl:misc_RNA Metazoa_SRP Metazoan signal recognition particle RNA